ACUCUUACCUGGCGUAGGGGAUACCAUGAUUAUGCAGGCGGUUCCCCCAGGGCGAGGCUGCUCCAUUGCACUGCGGAGUGGUGGACCCUUGCGAUUAUUUUUAUUUUUAUCAAUAAAAAAAUCAUUUUGGGGAAGCUUAACGACAGUGAGAAGAUCUUCCACCGA